rnacentral:rRNA from 1 species
CAGUAGCCGCGGUAAUACGAAGGGUGCAAGCGUUAAUCGGAAUUACUGGGCGUAAAGGGUGCGUAGGCGGUUUGGCAAGUUUGGUGUGAAAUCUUCGGGCUCAACUCGAAGUCUGCAUCGAAGACUGCCGGGCUUGAGUAUGGGAGAGGUGAGUGGAAUUUCCGGUGUAGCGGUGAAAUGCGUAGAUAUCGGAAGGAACACCUGUGGCGAAAGCGGCUCACUGGACCAUAACUGACGCUGAUGCACGAAAGCUAGGGGAGCAAACAGGAUUAGAUACCCCGGUAGUCCCUGUCUCUUAUAC